rnacentral:lncRNA from 1 species
UCGCAGCGGCCCGGCGCGUUCUCAGCCCAGCUCUUUGUCUGCUGCUUUGUGAUGGGCCGCUGGCCUAGAAAUGGCCUCAAAUGGAAGCUGCCACCCGAUCCUGGUGGAGGCUUUGGAGCUAGGCUAGAGAUCAGUACUCCAGGGUUCAGUGCGCACGUGCUGCCCACGCACUAGGGCCGAAGCAAUGCGGGUGCUGGCGACCGACGCAAGGAGGUGACGCGCAGGGGACUUAAGGAGCGAACCGCCGCGGGAGGACGCGCCCAGGUCAGAGGGACUCCCUUUGCGCCCCCCACGCUGGGUCUCGCCCACGCGUGGCCCGGCUGGUCUGCGGAGCAG